rnacentral:rRNA from 1 species
AGAAGCAAAGCCGCGAGGUAGAGCAAAUCUCAAAAAAAACAUCUCAGUUCAGACUGCAGGCUGCAACUCGCCUGCACGAAGUCGGAAUUGCUAGUAAUCGUAGGUCAGCAUACUACGGUGAAUACGUUCCCGGGCCUUGUACACACCGCCCGUCAAACCAUGAGAGUUGGCAACACCCGAAGUCGGUAGUCUAACCGCAAGGAGGACGCCGCCGAAGGUGGGGUUGAUGAUUAGGGUUAAGUCGUAACAAGGUACC